UACAUGGGCCAAGGGAGAAGAGCAUGCCCAAUGCACAUGAGGGAAGGGAUAUUAGCUUCAGAUUCAAACAAAAUGAAAAAAGAAAAACGUGCACAAGGACUUAUUUGAACACCUCAUGUUCUCCUGGCCUGAAAGUCAUCGUCUCCUCCGCGCAAGAGGUCGCCUCUGGUGGCGGAGGAGGGCCAAAUCAUGAUUUUAACCACUAAUCUCUUUGUAUGUGUCUCUUUUACACGAAUCUAUCAACAACUUCUCACAAUUCCAAAACCUAAAGCCUAAACCGGUUCUAAUUAUGUAUGAACCCUAAAUGUCAAAAGUGAAAUUAAAUACUCCUCUCAAGGAAUAAAAGCCCAAGAGGUUGGGGCUUUGAUUCCUCACACCUUGGAUCACAUCCUGGUAAUAAUUUUGAAGCAAGAAGGUGAAAUUGAGCUUACGCCGCCGGAGACGACGGAUAUGACGACGGAAUUCCAGGUGAUGUAGACAUGAGAAAGCAAACCAAGAUGACUUGUAUUUAAAGAAGAUGGUGAAUGCAUAAGUUAAAAGUAUGUGGAACCUUUUCAAACAACAAAGAUAACUUGGUGGAGAAGCAAUGUAAGAAAUGGGGUUUAGGAUCAUCAAAAUAGUCAGUUGACUUGAUCAACUAGUUGACCAAAAAGUCAAUAGUUGACCAAAUGUCAACUUAGGUAGAAAAAUGUAUUUUUUUGUAUAAAACAAUUUGUAAUGGCUUUGAUGAAGUCAUACUUUGUAAUGAAAUCCCCUUUAUUUGAAAUGCAAAUGGGCUUGGAAGUGAAAUGGAAUUUAAAUGAUGUAUUUAAUGGAAUGAAUUUGAAUGAAACAUGACUUUGAAUGAAGUGAA